rnacentral:rRNA from 1 species
UACAGAGGGGGCUAGCGUUAUUCGGAAUUAUUGGGCGUAAAGGGCGCGUAGGCGGCCAUGCGUGUCUUCCGUGAAAUCCCUCGGCUUAACUGAGGACGUGCGGAAGAAACUGCAAGGCUCGAGUCCGGGAGAGGGGGGGGUGGAAUUCCCAGUGUAGCGGUGAAAUGCGUAGAUAUUGGGAGGAACACCGGUGGCGAAGGCGGGUCUCUGGGCCGAUACUGACGCUGAGGAGCGAAAGCGUGGGGAGCGAACAGG